UGUCAAAUCAUCAUGCCCCUUAUGACCUGGGCUACACACGUACUACAAUGGCCGUUAACAAAGGGAAGCAAAAGAGCAAUCUGGAGCAAAUCCCCAAAAGCGGUCUCAGUUCAGAUUGCAGGCUGCAAUUCGCCUGCAUGAAGUCGGAAUUGCUAGUAAUCGCGAAUCAGCAUGUCGCGGUGAAUACGUUCCCGGGCCUU
rnacentral:rRNA from 1 species